UGCGCGUGCGCUGCGGGCUCUGCCCUCUGGGCCCCGAGGGACCAGGCCUGCGGGACCCACCCAGUGCAACAGAAUAAUCCUUUUGUAUGCUGUGAAGAUGUGUAUUUGCCAAGGCACCUUCUGAUUGGUUUCAUAAACAGCUGAAUGGCCGAUAACUUGACAAGAAGAGGUUAGGUGCGACUUCUGGGCACGGAGAAAAGAAGAGAUGAAUCUAGGUUUGGGAGACACCGAGAAGACUAAGAGGAAGCAGGACAUGCAGGAGGAGAGUAACAGAAAGCUGACUUUAACACAUGAUUGUAGCAGCCUUGCCUGUAACAGUGGCCACAUCCCUUUGGGUGUGACUUCAGGAGUACAGAAGCAGAAAGAGGGAAGCCUAAGAAGGGAAGCAUAAGAUGUUGGCAUGGAGUAUAGCUUCUCAAGAAGAGUCGGAGUGCUGCUUUAGUUGUCAGACCUGAGGCACCCUGUGUCACCACAAGGGGAAGGAUGGCAGGAAGGUGGCAGCUGGAUGGGGUGCUUGGCCUCCCAAAGUCUUUCAGGGACCAUGUGACUUCCGAGGCACCCAGGCAUUGGCAUCCAGCCAGCAAAUGAAGGAAGACAAGUGGGAAAGACACAUUCACUUUUCUUACAUGCCUUCUGGUCUUCUUAUGGGGAAGUAAGUAGUUCUGAUCCACUGUGUCUCAAGGAACCCUGGGAAAUGAAGUCCUGGCCUGAGAAGUUCCUUCCCAGCAAGUUCUCUUGGGAAAAGUGGGAUUCUUGCUAUUCUAGGUUGUGGAAGGGCCUGGCUGCUGGAAAUAAGUCAUUGGAGCUGGGCCUUCAAACCCAUGAUUUCACAUGCUUACUGUUUCCUGGUCAGCCACCACGUGAGCAGUCUCCUCACCCUCCUGCAAGUACUGACCACACUGCCAUGGCAUGCCUUCCCUGCCCUAAUGCCUUUCCCUGAAACUAUGAGCUGAAAUAAAUCCUUCCUCCUUUAGGUUGCUUCUGUCCGGCAUUUUGUCACAGCAAUGAACAGAGUAACUAAUAUGGUGUGUUUUCUGCCUCCAUCCCGUACUUACGAAAAGUAAUAUGGUUGUCAUAAAGUGAUUUUUAUGUGCUUGGUGUU